rnacentral:SRP_RNA from 1 species
AGCAGCAGGGUAAGUCCUAUACGGUCAGCUCCCUUCGAAUCCCCCAGGGUUUGAUCGCAGCAAGGGUAGUUGGUUGUAGCGAUGCGAUGUAGUUAGCUUACCCUCUU